rnacentral:lncRNA from 1 species
ACAUAGAACCAUAAUCAAUGUAAAUAAACAAUGCUUGAAUACUUUGAGAUAACAACUCACAAUUCAAAACUGAACCAGGAAAGAAAGAAAGAAUCAGGCAAUGCUUUAAAACAAACAUAGAUUUUAUUGAAGACGACAAAUUGAAUCACAUCAUAACAUAUAACAUAAAUGUAAAACCAAACGGAAAAUGUGUUGCUGCAGAUCGAUCCAAGUUAAACGCAAGGGUCACCGCUCAUCACCAGUUUCUAUUGCCACAACCGUUUGCUUUACAGGGGCUCUAUCAACCGACAAUACAAGAUGCCGACGCUUCGUCCCUGUCACGUUGGCCUUCCUCGGAGUGCAUUCCGCAUCUGUGUUCCACUAUUUCAAUAUGCUAGUUCUAUUUGUCGACGAUGAAGGUCCGCGUUUUGACGGAGACGAGUAAGGAAAUAGAUCGCGAUUGAGAUGGCGGAGAGGGUUGACGAACGGAGAGUGGAGCUGGUGAUUGUUUAUGGAUGAUUCGGCGGUGAUUGUAGAUCUGGCCGAGGGUUAUUAGGAUAAUGAUGAUGGAAGUGGGUUAAGAGGAUUCGUCGGCGAGGCGGAGGGUUAAAGGUUUAGCGGUGGUUGAAGAUUUAUGUGGUGGUCGACUAGAUCAGUGGUGGAUUUGUGAACGGAAGAUGGAGGAUGAUGGAGGGUGAAUGACGGUGGUUCCUGGGGUUCGUCGGCGGAUUGCGCUUUGUUUUUUGUUGUUGGUGAGCGGUGGAAUCGAAGCUUGGAGUGAGUGGAAUGGGGUUUUCCGGCAAGAUCGGUGGUAGUUGAGUUUAGCGAUGGAGGUGUCGUGUGGGUUAACGGCAAUGGAGGUUGUGCAUUUGAAGAUGGGUUGAGAUGGUGGUAAAUGGUGGUGGUUAUGAGAGAGGAAGAAGGAUUUUUAUUUGUUUUAUCUUUUUCAGAGAGAGAGAGAUGAGAUUUGUGAGGAAUUGAAAGAGUGGAGGUAGCGUGAGGGAGUUUGAGAAUUCUGUUGUGAGAUUCUCUUAUUAGAGUGUGAGGAGUUUGUUAGAGGGCGCGUGGGGAGAGUGAAGAAAGAUUUUUAUUAUUAUAUUUUCUUUACUAAAUAAUCUAGAAAGAUCCUUUUAGUGGCAGUUGGGAAUGGAAGAGCUGUCAACUUGCAAGACAAAAAGAAUCCAAUGCUAUCUAUAUACAUUUAUUUGAAAUCUGAAAAUUAUAAAGUAUUUAACAAUUAUAUUAAAAAUAGAAUCAAUUCACCAAAAUAAAUUCAAACUAAUUACGUAAUAAAUUCUAAUUUAUUCCAAUGAUAUCUUGAUUAAGAAAAUAAAAGUCGGGAACAAAUAUUCUCGAAAAAUUAAAUUGGACAAGCUAAAAUGAUCAGCACAAAAUAUAUUUAUUGAAAAAAUACAGCGUUUUCUUCAAAUUUUAAUGAUUCAACCGAUUUGUCUGUAUUCUCAAAUAAAUUCAUUCUGACUGACAUUUUAGGUACUAUUCAUGAUGGAAUGUAUGUCAUGCUAUGCAUAUGAUGCAAAAAUAAAAAUGAAAUCAAUUCUGUGAAAAUUUAAAUAUGCCCGGACAAAAUUGGGGUAUGACAGUCCCUACCCUGCAACAAGUAAAGUCUUGGUUGGGGAAAUGCUUUUCUAUGAAGGACCUAGGUGAAGCAGCCUAUAUUUUAGGAAUUAAAAUCUAUAGAGAUAGAUCACAAAAACUGCUUGGCCUAAGUCAGAGUACAUACAUAGACAAAGUGCUGAGACGCUUUAAUAUGCAUGAUUCCAAGAAAGGAUUCAUACCUAUGCAACAUGGCCUGUGUCUAUCAAAAACACAAUCCCCUUCAACUAAGGAAGAAAGGGAUCGCAUGAAUAAGAUUCCAUAUGCAUCUGCAAUAGGAUCUAUCAUAUAUGCCAUGUUAUGUACUCGACCAGAUGUCUCGUAUGCUUUAAGUGCAACGAGUAGGUACCAAUCUGAUCGUGGUGAUGCCCAUUGGCUAGCUGUCAAGAAUAUCCUUAAUUACUUGAGAAGGACUAAGGACUCAUUCUUGAUAUAUGGAGGUCAGGAAGAGUUAGCUGUAUUUGGAUACACUCAUUCUAGCUUCCAGACAGAUAAGGAUGACUUUAGAUCACAAUCUAGUUAUGUGUUUUGCUUAAACGGUGGCGAUGUGAGCUGGAAAAGUUCAAAGCAAGAUACAGUUGUUGAUUCUACAAUCGAGGCCGAGUAUAUUGUUUCCUCAAGUGAAGCAAAGGAAGUUGUUUGGAUCGAAAAGUUCAUUAGUGAACUUGAAAUAGUUCCUAGCAUUGUGGGUCCCAUUGGUCUCUAUUGUGAUAACAAUGGUGCUACCGCACAAGCUAAGGAGCCUAGAUCUCACCAACGAUCCAAAUACAUACUCAGGCGUUAUCACCUCAUUCGAGAGAUAAUAGAUAGAGGAGAUGUGAAAAUAUGUAGAGUACCUACACUUGACAAUAUUGCUGACCCACUGACAAAGCCUCUUGCGCAGCAGCCAUACUAGAUCAAUGGCAUUAGGGGUAUGCCUGAUUGGCUCUUAGUGCUAGUGGGAGAUUGUUGGUGUAGCCUAGAGGCAAUACUUUUGGUACUUGUAUCGAAUAUUUAUUAAUUAAUAAAAGGCUUUUUCUUUAUUAUGUUUGAUUAAUAAAGUCCCUAGAAUAGCUAGUCCGUUUAAUGUAUCAAGUAUGACUUAAUCAUGAGAUCACAUUAAACAUAAGGACAUUAUUCUAUCCGUAGUCGAGCUUUAUUGUGAAGUGGGAUAACAUUAAAGCAUUAAGACUAUUAUGUUUGUAGAUCGAUGAUCACAUCUCAUGGAUCAUGGAUAAAGAGUUAUCAAGUCUUAAACAUAGGUAUGAAUAUUAAGAGUAAUAUUUAUACCACAUUGACCCGCUAUGAGAAUACUAUAUAGAAAGUUAUGCAAAGUUUCAUAAGUUACUCUCAUGGUGAUAAUGGUGUAUACCACUCUUCAACCUGAAACCACUAUGGAUCCUAGAUGUAGAGUCGAGUGCUUUAUUGCUGAUCCAACGUUGUCCGUAAUUGGAUAACCAUAAAGACAGUUGAUGGGUAUUCCACGAAGCAUGGUGAGGGACAUGAGUGACCUAGAUGGAAUUUGCCCAUCCUACGUAACAGGAUAAAUGUCUACGGGCCCAAUAUUGAACUGGACAAGGAUGACACGGUCUAUACCUUGUGUUCAAUAUAGACAUAAGGGCAAAGGGGUAAUUAUAUACAUAAUUAUUAUCACAGGAGGUUUUGUCAGAUCACAUGACAUUGUAGCAGAGAUGUUGUGGCUAAUACCGCUCCACUUAAGUUUAUUCAUGUUAAAUGCGAUUUAAUAUAAGUGCCACCGUCGCGAAAACCUACAGGGUCAACACAAAGGUACGGUGUACUUAAGUAGAAUACGAAAUAUGGUAAGGUACCAAAUACUUAAGUGAUUUUGGUAUAUUAUGAGAUAUGGGCCAAAAUACACUUAAGUGGGCUUUUAGCUUGAAGCCCACACAAGUGGUUCUAUAAAUAGAACACUUGGGUAGAAGCAUUGAGACUCAGACUAAGACUCAAGUGAAGACUUGGAAUUUCGUUUCUCUCUCUCUCUCUCACUCAAAGCCUUCAUUCAUAGCAGCUAGCACUGAGAUUGAAGGAAUCCGUUCGUGUGGACUGAGUAGAGACGUUGUCAUCGUUCGACGUUCAUGAUCGCUCCGUGGAUUUGUAUCCAAGAUUUUGAUCGUUACAAGAGAUAUGCACCAAAGGUUUGAAUCUCCACAAGAGGUAACGAUUCUAUCACUGAUCAUGCCCAUUCGUAAGGAUCACUAAAUGGAGGAAUUUUUAAAUUCCGCUGCGCCUUGGAUGGCAAUUCUCCUUCAGCUGCAACGGCUCACUUUGUGUCAUCUAUGCCAGCCGGGUUCCCUUGGGGAAUGCCUGCCAACUUUGUACCCGAGGGUUUUGCUCCAACUCUCGCUUCUCUGCCGGCAUCUAGGCCGGUCCUUUCUGUGCCACCUCCCGUUGUGCACACCUUACCUAGAGUGGAAGACACCAUCUAUCAUUCUGAGCCACCUGAGGGCCCAAAUGUUUAUGAAAAGAUGGACGAGAUGAAAGACCAAUUCCUUGAGCUGCGCAAGGAACUGAAGACUCUGAGGGGUAAGGACCUCUUUGGUAAAAGUGUUGAUGAGUUGUGCCUUGUGCCCAAUGUUAGGAUCCCGAUUAAAUUCAAAGUGCCUGACUUUGAGAAAUAUAAGGGAAACACCUGCCCUCUUAGCCAUCUUGUGAUGUAUGCUCGCAAUAUGUCAACGCAAACAGACAACGAUCAACUUCUUAUCCACUUCUUCCAGGACAGUCUGUCUAGUGCUGCUCUCCGAUGGUACAUGGGUCUGGAGAGUGUAAACAUCCUCUCCUUCAACGAUCUUGGCGAGGCCUUUGUCAAACAAUACAAAUACAAUGUGGAUAUGACUCCCGAUAGGGACCAGUUAAGGGCGAUGUCCUAGAAAGAGAAAGAGACUUUCAAAGAGUACGCCCAGAGAUGGCGCGAGUUGGCAGCUCAGAUAGUGCCACCCCUUGAAGAGAAAGAAAUGACAAAGAUCUUUUUGAAGACUUUAAGUUAUUUCUACUAUGAGAGGAUGAUUGCCAGUGCUCCCUCGGACUUCACCGAAAUGGUGAAUAUGGGAAUGAGACUGGAAGAAGGAGUCCGUGAAGGACGUCUAUCCAAGGAUGAAGGCUCUUCAGCAAAGAGAUAUGGGAGCUUUGCGAAGAAGAAGGAGGGAGAGGCACAUGUUGUGUCCUCCCAUAUCAAGAGAAGACCCUCUGUGAAGAGGAAGAAUGUGCGUCUUGCCGUUAGCCAACACCAGGUGGCUCAUAUAGCACCUGCCUUUAGAGAAGUUCAACAUCAUCAAUAAUAAUAACAACAACAAUAUCAACAACAACAUCGUCCACAACAACAGGCCUACCAGCCUCGAAACAACAAUAACACCAGCACCAGCUACGAUAGGAAGAGGGUCACUUUUGAUCCAAUUCCAAUGACUUAUGCUGAACUUUAUCCUUCUCUGAUCGAUAGAAAGUUGAUUACUCCACGAGACCCUCCCGCUAUACCUACCAACCCUCAGUGGUGGUAUAAGCCUGAACUACACUAUGUAUAUCAUUUCGGUGCUCCUGGACAUGAUGUGGAGAAUUGUUAUCCCUUGAAGACCAAGGUGCAAGACCUUGUGAGAAGUGGAUUUUUUUUUCCGAGGACGUAGGUCCUAAUGUGAGGAAGAACCCAUUGCCCGAGACAGGGAAAGCUGCUGUGAAUAUGGUCCAGGGUUGUCCUGGUAAAUAUAAAGUCCUGUAUGUCAAUGAUAUCAGGCAAUCUUCGGUCGAGAUGCAUAAACUGUUGUGUGGAUACAAUCACUAUGAGCAUGACCAUGACAGGUGCCAGGUGUGCACUGUCAAUGAGAGAGGAUGCCAACAAGUUAGAAAGGACAUUCGAGAGAUACUGGAUCAGGGAAUGAUCGAGAUACUUCAAAAUCGCAACGAGGAUGAAGUUGAUGUUAUCUCUCCUGUAUUCAGGAUUCCAGAACCUGUUGUUGUCAAAUAUAAUGGCAGCAAAAAGAAGGUCUCUCCAACUCUUGUGAUUAAACCAGUGGGCCCUGUCCCGUACGUAUGUGACAAAGUUGUUCCCUACAGAUACAAUGUAGUGAUGCUAGAGGAUGGGAAGGAGGUGCAGUUGCCCUCAACCUCUAUUGUGAGCAUCUCAGACGUCAGUGGUGUGACCCGUAGUGGUCGUAUUUUCUCGGCUCCGCUGAAAUCCCAUGAAGACGUUGUGGGGAAAGCUGUGGUUAAUCCUGCCGGUCCCGUGGGGACUUCUUCUUCUGAUAAUAUUAUUGUGAAGGGUAUUGACCCUGUUGUUGAUAGAACUCCUGUCCUGGUUGGCCAGCAUGGCAUUCUGAAAGAGGACUGUGAUGAGAUGCUGAGAAUCAUCAAAAGGAGAGAAUAUAAUGUUGUUGAUCAGCUGCUACAAACUCCAUCAAAGAUAUCUGUGUUAUCUUUGUUGAUGAAUUCUGAGCCACACCGAGAAGCUUUGCAGAGGGUGUUGGACUUGGCAUACGUGGACCACGAUGUCACUAUUGAGCAGUUUGAUAGCAUUGUUGCAAACAUAACUGCUUGUAACAAUUUGAGCUUUUGUGAUGCUGAUCUUCCCGAGGAGGGAAAAGACCACAAUUUGACUCUACACAUUUCAAUGAAUUGCAAAGAUGAUGCCUUGUCUAAUGUGUUGGUAGACACAGGAUCAUCGCUUAAUGUGUUGCCAAAAUCCACUCUGGCUAAUCUUUCUUAUCAGGGGCCUCCUAUGAGGCAGAGUGGAGUGGUUGUUAAAGGUUUUGAUGGAUCGAGGAAAACUGUGAUUGGCGAAGUAGAACUCCCGAUCAAGAUUGGACCUAGUGAUUUCUAGAUCACUUUCCAGGUCAUGGAUAUCCAUCCAUCAUACAACUGUUUGCUUGGUAGAUCAUGGAUUCACGAGGCAGGCGCCGUGACAUCCAUCCUACACCAGAAAUUGAAAUUCGUUAAGAAUAAGAAGUUGGUGGUGAUAGGGGGAGAGAAAUCUCUCUUGGUUAGCCAUUUAUCUUCCUUUUCCUACAUAGAUGCUGAGGAUGAGGUUGGAACUCCGUUCCAAGCCUUGUCUAUUGCUGAGCCUUCAAGGAAAUGACUUUCUUCAUUUGCUUCCUACAAUGAUGCUAAGUUGGCCAUUGAGCAUGGUGUAACUACUGGUUUGGGGCAAAUGAUCAAAUUGGAAGAUAAUAAAUCCCGAGCUGGCAUAGGGUACUCUUCCGGUGUUUCUAAUGAGCGUGGGUUAUUCCAGAGUGGAGGUUUCAUCCACAAUAUUGAAGAUCAAGAGGCUGCUUCCAUCGUUGAAGAUUUAUACAAUGAGCGUGGCACAUAUUUGAUUUAUACAAUGAUAUCCACUCAAAAAUUACAUGUUAAAUGUUUGUUUUUCCAAAUUAUUUUCCCUUUUUUCUUUUUGCAUGAAAUUGGUGAUCACCAUAAAACCCUAAAUAGAGAAUAAAAUCAAUAUUUUCAUCUGCAUAAUGAUUUGCCUUGUUUGAAUUCUGAAAUUUCUUUUAUACUCAAAAUCAUUAUGCAGGUUGAUCAAACCCAUUGAACAUAAUGAUCCAACACCAUCUCCCAACUUUGAGUUCCAUGUAUUUGAGGCAGGAGAAGAUGAUGUUGAAGAGAUUCCUGAUGAGAUUACCCGUCUGCUUAAGCACGAGGAGAAGAUCAUUCAUCCGCAUCUUGAGAAUCUGGAAACAAUCAACUUGGGGUCUGAAGACUGCAUCCGAGAAGUGAAGAUUGGGGCACUCCUUGAAGAGUCUGUGAAGAAGGGGUUAAUUGAGUUGCUACGAGAAUAUGUCGAUGUCUUAGCCUGGUCGUAUGAAGACAUGCCUGGUCUAGAUACUGAUAACGUGCAACAUUUCUUACCAUUGAAGCCUGAGUGUGUACCUGUGAAGCAGAAGCUCAGAAGAACUCAUCCUGAUAUGGCAGUGAAGAUUAAAGAAGAAGUUCAGAAGCAAAUUGAUGCGGGGUUUCUGGUGACUUCUACAUAUCCUUUAUGGGUGGCCAAUAUUGUGCCUGUGCCUAAGAAAGAUGGAAAAGUCUGAAUGUGUGUGGAUUACCGUGACUUGAAUAAAGCUAGUCCGAAAGAUGAUUUUCCUCUACCACAUAUUGAUAUGUUGGUAGAAAAUACAGCUAAAUUCAAUGUCUUCUCAUUUAUGGACAGAUUUUCCGGCUAUAAUCAUAUUAAAAUGGCACCCGAGGAUAUGGAGAAGACAACAUUCAUCACACCUUGGGGAACAUUCUGUUAUCGAGUGGUGCCCUUCGGUUUGAAGAACGCCGGAGCCACGUAUCAACGAGCUAUGACUACCUUAUUUCAUGAUAUGAUGCACAAGGAGAUCGAGGUAUAUGUUGAUGAUAUGAUUGCAAAGUCAAAAACGAAAGUUGAACAUGUUAAGCACUUGUUGAAGCUUUUCCAGCGUUUGAGGAAGUACAAACUCCACUUGAAUCCGAACAAGUGUACAUUUGGAGUCCGUUCCGGCAAGUUAUUAGGCUUUAUUGUCAGCGAAAGAGGUAUUGAAGUUGAUCCUGCCAAGGUCAAAGCAAUACUGGAGAUGCCUGUGCCCAAAACUGAGAAGCAAGUCCGAGGUUUUCUCGGCCGCUUGAAUUAUAUUUCGAGAUUUAUAUCCCACAUGACUGCCACAUGUGUAACACCUCAAAAUUUGCCCUCCUCUUCUUGGGACUAGUUUAGCAUAUUGCAUUUCAUGUUUUAGGACAUUAGGCAUUUGCAUAUUGCAUAUCAUAUGGAAAUAAGAGAUCAUCCUCCAAAAGUCUUUUUCAGAAGAUAGAGAGGUUAAGAGAUUCGAGCCUGAGGGUUUCUAUGGAUUGGUGAUCAACCAUCUGAGGGUUUGCAGUGCAUUAGGGUUUCUUGAUCCUUCAAGGAGAUUGUGCAUUAUCUUGUUUGCAAGGAUAUGUCACCAUCAUCAUGGUUAUGUCAUCCUUAAGGGCUUCAUUGUUCAUGCUCAGGUUCCUCUGGAUUAGGGUUUUGACCUUUGGUCAACCCUAAUCAAUGGCAUUCUCCCAGCUAGGGUUUCUCAAGGAGAUGAGGUUUUCUUUUGAGAUGAAGAUCACAUGAGUAUCAUAUUGAGCUUACAUGAGCUAGGGUUUCAUUUCUAAGACAAUUCCUCAAGUGGUAAAGGUUCAAGCUGAUCAGAGCAUGUCAAGGUCAUCUAAGGACCUAUGCAGUCAACUGUGCAGUCAACUGAGGGCUAUGAGGUGGGGAAAUGAGUUUCAACAUCUCCAUCAUGUUUAAAAGAGGUUCAUUUGUCAUUUCAAACAUCUAUCUUGAAGAAUUUGAAGUCAAGGCAAAAGUUUCCAAAAAUGGAAAGUGACCUGUAAUUGAAAGUUUCCAAAAAUGGCAAGUUUUUGGUUCACAUUCAACUUGACUUUCCAACAUCAAAGAAGCUUCAAAUGAAUUUUUGGGCAACAUUAAAGUUGAAGGUAUUUCUCUCCCAUUUCCAAAAAGUCCUAGAUCAUGAGCAUCUGAUGAAUGGUUGAGAAGUUAUGAUCCAAUGAUUGCAAAGUGUACUUGGAACUUCAAAGUGCCAUAACUUUUGAUCCAAAACUCCAAAUUGAGUCCCUCUCUUUGCAAAAUUCUCCUUGUGACCAAAAUGCUCCAAAUUGAGCUUUGUAUUUCAGGUUCAAGCAUCUAGCUCUAGUGGUUGAUGUGAUCUCAUUACUUGAGAUGCAAAUUACUUUGUCCAUUAACCUUUAUUGUGUUGUAGGACCCUUGGUGAUGAACUCACUUGAGUUGUUUACACAUAGGACUUGUAUUGUGUACAUAUUGGAAGAGAACCACUGUGAUUGUCUAUUUGGUUUGUCUGAAUACAAUAUUGACUUGUUUGACUUUUGUACAGGUACAUUAGUCGCUUCUAGCUUGCUUUUGCUUUGCUUUGGAGUGUGAUUAGUACACCACUGAGGUAGUUUAGCCUUCUAACUCCAUGUAGUCUGGAAGCCCUGUCGCUUUUUUGGCAGGCGUUUGGCUGAAGUCCUCCUUAAGAGGCAAUGACUGUGUUUGUUUACAUUUAUGCUGUUACUUGUGAAGUCCUCCUAAGUGAAGAGGCAAUUGACAGAUAGAAGGGACUAGUAGCCAGUCCCCUGUUAGUCGUUGAGUCGUUCAUUAUGCUCGCACUACGUGCUGACGCUCUUCGAACCUAACCCAAGAUUUUGUAUGAGGUGGUUCAAGUGGAAUAGGGUCCCUCAUUCUGACCCCGCGCUUUCAUUGAUUCAAGCUCACCCAGGCCAGGGUUAAGAGCCAUGAGGUCUAACCCUCAUUACCUUCAUCUGCUCACCUGACGGUCAUGUCAGUGUUUUAAGAGCUUCGGACACCAUAACAGUUUUGGCUUGUUUGUCGAGGUUGAUAUGACCCCUUGACUAAAGCCCAACCAGUUUGUCUGAGCCUCUUGUUUGCAUAUAGAGUGUGAUGAUUGCUUUUGAUGUUUAUCUGCUUUCCGCUUCUUAUCUCCUGUUCUGUAGGAGUCGUAUGAUCAACUUUCGAGGAAGUUGAACGUACGUAGAGAUAGACUUGAGUUGACUCACUUCCUGUGUGAGUCAAACUCUUGUUAGAAACCUCAACCUAGGGUUAUAAUUUGCAUGACGACUAUUAGGCUCGAGUCAGUCUCCCUUUUAGUUUGUUAUUCCCAUGGUCUCUGGUUAGGAGAGUUUCUCCCCUGUUCAGGGGAACUACGUCGCCCUGAUCCUCAUACCAGAUGAGGUACGUAGGCAGGAGAUCGUGCGAGAUCUCUCCGGGCACCCUUUUUCUUUUUGAGUGUGUUUUGCUUGAUGACUUUUAGGUCCGAGUUCCCGACUCCCUAUUAGUUUGUGUGUUUAGCCUUUUGUUUCUUUCGACGUCUCACCGUCUUCUCGGUGUUUGCGUGACAACUAUUAGGCUCGAGUUCUAGACUCCCUUUUAGUUUGUCAAUUGGAGAACCUUUGGUGUUCGCUGGUUAGCGAUUGUUUGUGUGCUUGGAGUCGGAUGUAAGCCCAUCUAUUGGCAUUCUGUUUCCUGUUUGUUUUGUGGAGUCGGAUGUAAGCCCAUCUAUUGGCAUUCUGUUUCCUUGUUUGCCUUUGUUUGGAGUCGGAUAUAAAUCCAGCUAUUGACAUUCCGUUUCCUUGUUGAGUUUCUUUUGACGUCUCAGCAUCUCUGUGUGUGUUUUGUUUCGGCGUGCGUUAGCCGAACUACGAAUGUUCUGAUUCUUCCUCUGGAUAGAGAAGAUACGUAGGCAUAGGAUGUGAUGUCCUAGCGAGCCUGUUCCCCAUUUCCCCGAACUAUGUUGACUCUGAUGUUUGUUUCUGACAAACUACGUAGGCCCAGGAUGUGACAUCCUGCCGAGUCCCCUUCCUCUGUCUUCUUUCACAUUGUUUUAUUCCAGUGUGUGCAGUUUUUGAGCAGUUUGUUAGCAACCUUUUCCUAUCUUGUGGAGCGUGGAUCCCGUCGAGUACGGCGGACGUGAGGGGUGCUAAUACCUUCCCCUUGCGUAACCGACUCCCGUACCUUGCAAUCUCUGGUCGUAAGACCAUUCCUUUCCCUUUUUCAGGUUUACUUUGGACGUGAGGGGUGCUAAUACCUUCCCCUUGCGUAACCGACUCCCGUACCUUGCAAUCUCUGGUCGUAAGACCAUUCCUUUCCCUUUUUCAGGUUUACUUCGAGCAUUUCCUUUCCCUCCUUUGGGAAAAAUAACGCACGGUGGCGGCUCUAUGUGUUCUUUCCGCCGGUUGUUUUUCGCGAUGCGACAGCUGGCGACUCUGCUGGGGAAUUUAAAGUUGAUCUUUUGCUGGUCCAUCUUCCUUAAGCGAGUCAAUCCUAGCGCUCUUUAGGAUAGUUUUGGUUGCUUCUACUGCUCUAUUUAUUGCAUUUAUGAUUAUUAUACUGUGAUUGUAUAUAUUUGCAUAUGUGUUUGCAUGCAUCAUAUUACCACUGUGCUGGAUUUUAGAUAGGUUGGUUCCUCUGAUUUGGGGUGGGUGUUCUGAGUGGGGCUAAAACCCAGGCCCGAGUAUACACCUAGGAUUAGCGUGGUCUCAUGUUGCCUCUCAUGUUAGGUCAACAUGUUUUUGGCAACGUGACAUACCACAGAUCGGACGAAGGUUCUUCUGAGAGAGUCCUUCCGGGUGGAGUUUAUUCCACUUUGGUUGGGUUACCUCUUUUGAGUGUGACUUCGGUGCACGUUCUCUCCCGGAUCUUUUGGUUUAGACGAUCUUAUGAGGAGCUUGCAGCCGGCACACCCGAAAGGGCAAACCCGUUGAGUAUCUUGUCCGAUUGUCGAGACCAUUAUCCGCCUUAGGAUGACCUUGUUAGAAUUCACCUGUGAGGGGAGGGUUUGAUUCUUACAGGUACAGAUUCUGAUGGUGACUAUUGGAUGGUGACUUUGGUUCAGUUGGAUUUAUAGAUAUUUAUUUCUGAGACGCCGGAGUUCUGUCUGUGGUAUUUAUCAGCGGGUUCCGUUUAUUUCAGGAUCCCCGGGUUGAAUUUAUGUGUACUUGUUCAGAGGAUCUUGUGGUUAUCUGUUCAGAGGAUUUCUAUGAUGAUGGUGAUAUAUCCUCAGGUUCCAUUUAUUUCGGAACUCUCAAGUUGGAUUUAUGGUUACUCCGUGCCUCAGAUGGUUGUGAUCAGUUCUGAGACCGCAAUCCAGUACAGUUGAUGAUCAGAUGACUUGGAGGAUGGCACAGUGCAUUGCAUUCAUGCAUCAGCAUCAUUCACAUUUUGCAUUCAUCCUCAUCUAACUCAUGUUUAUCCAUACUCAGGGUACAUUCUUGAUAGAGAUUCUGGUUGAGAGACAUCUUGAUGUCAGAAUGUUAUUGUCAAAUUAUUAUCCGUCUCGAUGAAGUCAGAAUCGAAGGACAAAAUGUUCCUCAUACGGAUAGACAUUGCAUUCAUGCGUGAGUCAUAAUAACCUGUCUUCUAUUUUGCAGGUGUCAGUAUCUAACAUGUUUGAUUGACUCAGGAAUCAUUGCUCGCACACACCGAGUCAUUCCUUUGCACGUAGCUCGUCCGCACGGAUACCCCACCAGACGCAACAAACCCAGACUGAUGGAUCCACCCAACUCUGACAUUCUUGAGCUGAAAGAGAAGAUGGGUGAGUUAAUCAACGCCAGGCAAGGGUUUGCCCUUGGGCAGCAAGCGAUCGUCGAAAAGGUGGAUAAGGCCAAGGCUUUAGCCAGGGCAAAAGGAAAACAGGCGGUGGAAGAGGAUAAGUUUGGGAUUGGUUAUCAGUCGGGCCAAGGUUCAUCAGGGCAGAAUAAAGGACGUCGUCAACCGUUCAUGUUCACCAGUGCUGGAAUGCUAGAUCUAGAUCGCAUCUGUGCGGUGGGUGAAGAGAUCGACAGUGACUGCGAGCUGGACUCAUGGAUAAAACCGUGCGUACCAGGGAUGGAGAUCCAGAACUGGAUGGCCAAAAAGAUCAUCACUGUCACUCUACGUGAAGAGUAAUAUUUCUGUUUUUCAAUUCUAUCUGCAUGAAAAUCAUACGUUUUGCCCGAAACGUAAUGGUCCAUUGUAAGGGCCACCUCAUGUGUUUCAUUUUGCAUUGUUUGCAUCAUUAAUAAAAGGAUGUUUUUCACAUUAAAAGCGGUGUUCCCUGUUUUUCAUUUAUUUUUGCAGUUUAAUCAAAAUAAAAAAUGGCAAUGUUUAUUUUCAUUUUUCCUUCCUUUUGAUUGGCUUCAUUCCGACUUUUGUAUUCUCCGGAUCUCAUUGAUAACAACCCUGUUACACCCUCAUAUGACUUCGACAAUCCGAUCUAUCAUGCCGAAGAAGAAGGCGAAGAAGAUUGUGAACUGCUGGAAAAAUUAGCCAGGUUGUUGAAACAAGAGGAUAAGGUGAUUCAACCGCACGAGGAGCAAGUUGAGAUUAUGAAUCUGGGUACCGAGGAGGUCAGAAAGGAAGUGAAAGUUGGGGCUGCUUUGGAGGUAAAUGUCAAG